rnacentral:lncRNA from 1 species
CUCUCAUUUUUUCGGUUGAAUCAUCUUCUUAUUAUGCAUUAAUAUUCAAUAUUGAGUGGUGUUAGAUGAGUAGAUGAUUUCUUCAUCUUUGGAAUUUUUUUGUAGUUGGUAGACAAUUUUAGAAGAUUGGUGGGUACUAGAUGAUGUGUUCUUGAAUAUGUAGGCCAUAUUAUUUCAUAUUGGUGCCUGUACAGGCUAUUCAUAUGUUGCCAUAGGAACCCGCAUGAAGAGAGAUGAUGAACUCUUCAGAGUUCAUUUAUGGGAGCAUUGCACAUGUUGCGCCCUAGUGUCGUAACGUGCCGCACUUCGUUGUAGUGGGUUUUUUCGCGCGAAAUUACUAUUCUGACUUUUUGGCUAAGUUAAGCACGAAUUCACCCCGUUUGAAAAAAGUGUAUCUGACCUUUUUUGGUGACGCCAACAUCCCGCGUCCCGUUUGCAUGGGAGACAUCGUGGUCCCUGGUGUUUCCUCCUGGUCCACACAUCAUAGACCUCGACUUUUACCCUCGACCCAAAACGCCACGGACCAUGGUGUUUUCUCCUGAUAAGUCAUCCAGCCGCGCAGGCCCAACCCACUCCAUCUCCCCUAUCCUCUAGCGGCGAUUGAGCUAGCGCACGAACAGAGAGGGUUCUCUCUCGCCCCUUCCCUCUCCCCUCACCAAAUCCUCAAGAUAUACUCAUUCCACCACUCAAAUUCGUGGAUCUGAGGCCCCUAAGCAUCCUCAAGGUACUCUUGCCCCUUCCCUCCAAUUUAUUUCGAUUGAAUCCUCUUCUUUUUUAUUAUGGUGUUAGAUGAGUAGAUGGUUUGUUCAUUUUAGGGGGGAAAUGUAGUUUGUAGAUUAUUUUAGAUGAUUGAUAGGUACUAGAUGAUGCGUUGUUGAAUUUGUAGGCCAUAUUAAUUUGGAUUGGUGCCUAUAUAGGCUAUCCGUAUGUUGUCAUAUGAACCCACAUGAAAAGAUAUGAUGAACAUCUAAUGGUUGUAUAUGGUAUGGUUUGUUUGAGAUCUUGGUUUGGUUAUAGAUGAUUAAUAUUUGCAUAUGUUGUCCCAUGGGAUAUUAUCGAGAGAGAUGAUGAAGAGAUGAUGGUUGUAUGUGAUAUUGUUUGUGUUGAUAAUCUUGCUUGGUUUAUAAAUGAUGUGUGUGUAUGUGCUAGCAAUUUGGUUUUUUGCUUGCAAGCAAGUUCAUUAUGUUCAGAUGAUGUGUGUAUGUGGUAUGAAAAUAUAUGAUGUGUGGGUAUGUGUCGGGGUCUAGGAUCUGUGUCCAAGAAACUUCUCCAACAACUAGGGUUCGAACUCUAGGGGGGUUUGCUUGGCGACCUAAGACACUGCGACGACUACGACUGGACUGCCACGGGCACGCUGGCUCUCAUCGGGCACGAAGGGGAUGUGCGAGCUACCCAGGUUCGGGCCACCGUGCUGGUGUAAAUACCCUACUCCUGCCUAUGUUGGGUUGCUCUGUAAUGGAGAGCUUGUGGCUCGAGGUACACGAGAGGUUGGGAGAAUGGCUUGAUCCCCUUACAUGGAGGCGGCGUUGCCCCCUUUGUAGUGCCUUGGUCCCCUUCCCCAGAAAUAUGAGCGGGAAAGGGUGGCCAUAGGGCGGCAAUUCAAAGGGGGACAGGGGCCUAUGCCUAUCCUCACUAAAGGCGGUUUUCGCCUGGUAAAGUAGUCUUCAUGACACAUUGGUGGGCUCGGCGAUGACCUCUGCCCUGGCGUGCCGAUCCAUCCUAAUCUUCUUUCACCAGAGAGGAAAUGCUUUGGGAAUUGCUUUGGGAGAGACAGCGGACACUGCUCCCUUGUCACCAGAAUGGAAAUUGGGCUUGGUCAUGCCCCACCGUCCUUAUCCUGACAGCGGGCAUCCAUGUGAUGGGCGUGGAGCCCCGCUGCCGGCGCCGUACGACCUACCUCAUGAGGCGACCUCGUGAGAGGAGCCUCGCGAGGUAGCCCGGUGCUUGGCAGCCUCGGCAGGGCUCUGCCCCGCAGCAAGGGGCCUCGCGAGGCGUCUUCUUGCGGAGCGGCCGGAGUAGGGCAACCUGUCAUGGGCCGGCCCAGGUGCCGCCCUUUUGGCCAGAGGAAGAUGGGUCGUGGUACCGUGGUUCCCACUGGGCGACAGUAGCCCCCGGGCCUGCGGCGUGCAUGUUCGCCCGUUAGGAGCGAAAUGGCACGGGGCCCAUUGAGCUGUCGGGCCCAGAGGGCGACGCGUGGCGGCUUUUACGGGGCGGGACGCCCCCACUUCCCAGGAGCCUUGGUAAUCGCCGACCUGGGGAUAAGCCUGGGCGCGUAGGGCACAAGCACAUCAUUACUUUGUUGGGGAACGCAGUAUUUCAAAAAAAAUCCUACGAUCAUGCAAGAUCUAGGGAUGCAUAGCAACGAGAGUUGAACUUUAUUUUGCCAUGCUGUUUUGAGAAGACAUGAUUGCUUAGUUAGUAUGCUUGAAGUAUUAUUAUUUUUAUGUCAAUAUUAAACUUUUGUCUUGAAUCUUUCGGAUCUGAACAUUCAUGCCACAAUAAAGAAAAUUACAUUGAGAAUUAUGCUAGGUAGCAUUCCACAUCAAAAAUCAUGUUUUUCUCAUUUACCUACUCAAGGACGAGCAGGAAUUAAGCUUGGAGAUGCUUGAUACGUCUCCAACGUAUCUAUAAUUUUUUAUUGUUCCAUGCUAUUAUAUUAUCUAUUUUGGAUGUUAAUGGGCUUAUUUAUACACUUUUAUAUUAUUUUUGGGACUAACCUACUAACCCAAGGCCCAGUGCAAAUUGCUGUUUUUUUGUGCCUAUUUCAGUGUUUCGCAGAAAAGGAAUAUCAAACGGAAUCCAAAUAGAAUGAAACCUUCGGGAGAGUUUUUUUGGAACAAACGUGAUCCAGGGGACUUGGGGUGGACGUCAAGAAAUCAACAAGGAGGCCACGUGGCAGGGAGGCGCGCCUGCCCCCUGGGCGCGCCCCCACCCUCGUGGGACCCUCGUGGCUCCACCGACCUACUUCUUCCUCCUAUAUAUAUCCAUAUACCCUGAAAACAUCCAGGAGCAUCAUGAAACCCUAUUUCCACCGCCGCAACCUUCUGUAUCCAAGAGAUCCCAUCUUGGGACCUUUUCCGGAGCUCCGCCGAAGUGGGGAUCGAUCACGGAGGGCUUCUACAUCAACACCAUAGCCUCUCCGAUGAUGUGUGAGUAGUUUACCACGGACCUUCGGGUCCAUAGUUAUUAGCUAGAUGGUUUCUUCUCUCUCUUUGGAUCUCAAUACAAAGUUCUCCUUGAUUCUCUUGGAGAUCUAUUCGAUGUAACUCUUUUUGCGGUGUGUUUGUCGAGAUCCGAUGAAUUGUG